AGAUUGAACGCUAGCGGGAUGCUUUACACAUGCAAGUCGAACGGCAGCGCGGACUUCGGUCUGGCGGCGAGUGGCGAACGGGUGAGUAAUAUAUCGGAACGUGCCCAGUAGCGGGGGAUAACUACGCGAAAGCGUGGCUAAUACCGCAUACGCCCUACGGGGGAAAGGGGGGAUCGCAAGACCUCUCACUAUUGGAGCGGCCGAUAUCAGAUUAGCUAGUUGGUGAGGUAAAGGCUCACCAAGGCGACGAUCUGUAGCUGGUUUGAGAGGACGACCAGCCACACUGGGACUGAGACACGGCCCAGACUCCGUACGGGAGGCAGCAGUGGGGAAUUUGGACAAGUGGGGAAACCCUGAUCCAGCCAGUCCCGCGUGU
rnacentral:rRNA from 1 species